rnacentral:rRNA from 1 species
CCCUUAGAUGUCCGGGGCCGCACGCGCGCUACACUGAUACGUUCAACGAGUUUACAACCUUGAUCGAAGGGUCUGGGUAAUCUUUUGAAUGCGUAUCGUGCUAGGGAUAGACUAUUGCAAUUAUUAGUCUUGAACGAGGAAUUCCUAGUAAACGCAAGUCAUCAGCUUGCAUUGAUUACGUCCCUGCCCUUUGUACACACCGCCCGUCGCACCUACCGAUUGAAUGACUCGGUGAAAUAUCGGGACCGUUGUCUGGCUUGAUUCAUUUCGAACUAGAUAGUGGGAACUUUCUUUAACCUAUUUAUUUAGAGGAAGGUGAAGUCGUAACA